AAGGUGGAUUCUUUCUCAGACGUGCAGUUGCCCCCCCACCCCCCCAGCCCCUACCAGAAAAAAGUCACGUGGCUCCAUCAUCAGCUUUGAAACAACUUUAUUAGAAGGCUGUUUUAAAGGACAACUUCCAAUUCUGUCUUAAUUUGCUUUUUCACAAAUUCCAGUUAUCCCUAGAUUUAGAUAAAACAGUAAUUUUUGCAUUGAUCUUUGCAUCCUAUUUGAGUUGUCCUCACCAGGCCAUUCUGGUGGAACAGAAGCGCGACCGUGAAGUCGCCAAGUUGACCAGCAUUGCUGAGCAGGAGUGGGGGGGGGGAGGGGGGGCCUGGGGGGGAGGGAGCCCACUUCACAGGCGGGGGNUGGCCGCCCUCUCCUGGAGCCCCCACCCCAAACUCACAGUGAUAGGCCCCUCAGCGCCUAGUCAGUCUAAAGGCUGAAACAAGAGAUCCUCCCAGCCCAAGAAAUGAUCUGGACUUCCACGCUCAAUGGAGUGGAGAUUUCUGCCACUCUUCCUGCCCCCGGUCAGACCCUCAGAUCCUGAGGCUCUUCCUGGGUGCAAGCCCUGCUCCAACCUGCCAGGAGCCACCUCCCCAUGACCAGGGCCCUCCUGCCCCGACCUUUCUUCUGUCGCCAGUUCCGAGGCAUUUCUUUGGACAGACUUGACGACAGUGCGGCCAGCGGCGGGAAAGAUCACUCCCACGGCCCCGCCUUCCUCUCCCCACCCCACCUGGAGGGUGCUAGGAAGGUACAAUCAACCAUGAACAUAAAUAUGAAUACAAAAUGAACUUGAAAAUGACA
rnacentral:lncRNA from 1 species